GACGAACGCUGGCGGCGUGCCUAAUACAUGCAAGUAGAACGCUGAAGCGAGGAGCUUGCUCUUCUUGGAUGAGUUGCGAACGGGUGAGUAACGCGUAGGUAACCUGCCUUGUAGCGGGGGAUAACUAUUGGAAACGAUAGCUAAUACCGCAUAACAAUGGAUGACACAUGUCAUUUAUUUGAAAGGGGCAAUUGCUCCACUACAAGACGGACCUGCGUUGUAUUAGCUAGUAGGUGAGGUAACGGCUCACCUAGGCGACGAUACAUAGCCGACCUGAGAGGGUGGUCGGCCACACUGGGACUGAGACACGGCCCAGACUCCUACGGGAGGCAGCAGUAGGGAAUCUUCGGCAAUGGGGGCAAAGCUGACCGAGCAACGCCGCGUGAGUGAAGAAGGUUUUCGGAUCGUAAAGCUCUGUUGUAAGUCAAGAACGAGUGUGAGAGUGGAAAGUUCACACUGUGACGGUAGCUUACCAGAAAGGGACGGCUAACUACGUG
rnacentral:rRNA from 1 species